GACGAACGCUGGCGGCGUGCCUAACACAUGCAAGUCGAACGAGCGAGAGAGAGCUUUUUUUUUUGUGCGAGUGGCGAACGGGUGAGUAACACGUGAGUAACCUGCCCCAAAGUGGGGGACAACAGCUGGAAACGACUGCUAAUACCGCAUAAGACCACCGCCCGCCAUCGAGGAGGGGGAAAAGGGGCACUCCGCUUUGUGAUGGCCCCGCUUCCGAUUUGCUAGUUGGUGUGGUAACGGCCCACCAAGGCGACGAUCGGUAGCCGGGCUGAGAGGUUGAACGGCCACAUUGGAGCUGAGGCACGGCCCAGACUCCUACGGGAGGCAGCAGUGGGGAAUAUUGCACAAUGGGGGAAACCCUGAUGCAGCGACGCCGCGUAGAGGAAGAAGGUCUUCGGAUAGUAAACUCCUGUUGUUGGGGAAGAUAAUGACGGUACCCAACAAGGAAGUGACGGCUAACUACGUG
rnacentral:rRNA from 1 species